rnacentral:rRNA from 1 species
AACGAACGCUGGCGGCAGGCUUAACACAUGCAAGUCGAGCGCCCCGCAAGGGGAGCGGCAGACGGGUGAGUAACGCGUGGGAACGUACCCUUUGCUACGGAAUAGCUCCGGGAAACUGGAAUUAAUACCGUAUGUGCCCUACGGGGGAAAGAUUUAUCGGCAAAGGAUCGGCCCGCGUUGGAUUAGCUAGUUGGUGGGGUAAUGGCCUACCAAGGCGACGAUCCAUAGCUGGUCUGAGAGGAUGAUCAGCCACAUUGGGACUGAGACACGGCCCAAACUCCUACGGGAGGCAGCAGUGGGGAAUAUUGGACAAUGGGCGCAAGCCUGAUCCAGCCAUGCCGCGUGAGUGAUGAAGGCCUUAGGGUUGUAAAAUUCUUUCACCGGGGACGAUAAUGACGGUACCCGGAGAAGAAGCCCCGGCUAACUUCGUGCCAGCCGCCGCAGUAAAAC